AAUAGGGACAGUCGGGGGCGUCAGUAUUCAAUCGUCAGAGGUGAAAUUCUUGGAUCGAUUGAAGACUAACUACUGCGAAAGCAUUCGCCAAGGAUGUUUUCAUUAAUCAGGAACGAAAGUUAGGGGAUCGAAAACGAUCAGAUACCGUUGUAGUCUUAACCAUAAACUAUGCCGACUGGGGAUCGGGCGAUGUUAUUUCUUGACUCGCUCGGCACCUUACACGAAAGUAAAGUUUUUGGGUUCUGGGGGGAGUAUGGUCGCAAGGCUGAAACUUAAAGAAAUUGACGGAAGGGCACCACAAGGGGUGGAGCCUGCGGCUUAAUUUGACUCAACACGGGGAAACUCACCAGGUCCAGACACAACUAGGAUUGACAGAUUGAGAGCUCUUUCUUGAUUUUGUGGGUGGUGGUGCAUGGCCGUUCUUAGUUGGUGGAGUGAUUUGUCUGCUUAAUUGCGAUAACGAACGAGACCUUAACCUGCUAAAUAGCCCGUGCCGCCUCGGCGGCACGCCGGCUUCUUAGAGGGACUAUCGGCUCAAGCCGAUGGAAGUUUGAGGCAAUAACAGGUCUGUGAUGCCCUUAGAUGUUCUGGGCCAGCGCGCGCGCGACACUGACAGGGCCAGCGAGUUCCUCCUUGGCCGAAAGGCCCGGGUAAUCAUGAAUUGGCU
rnacentral:rRNA from 1 species